UGCAAGUCGAACGACAUAGUGGCAGACGGGUGAGUAACGCGUGGGAACGUACCCUUCACUACGGAAUAGCUUCUGGAAACGGAAGGUAAUACCGUAUACGCCCUUCGGGGGAAAGAUUUAUCGGUGAAGGAUCGGCCCGCGUUAGAUUAGUUUGUUGGUGGGGUAAUGGCCUACCAAGACUACGAUCUAUAGCUGGUCUGAGAGGAUGAUCAGCCACACUGGGACUGAGACACGGCCCAGACUCCUACGGGAGGCAGCAGUGGGGAAUCUUGCACAAUGGGCGAAAGCCUGAUGCAGCCAUGCCGCGUGAAUGAUGACGGCCUUAGGGUUGUAAAAUUCUUUCGCCAGGGAUGAUAAUGACAGUACCUGGUAAAGAAGCCCCGGCUAACUUCGUGCCAGCAGCCGCGGUAAUACGAAGGGGGCUAGCGUUGUUCGGAAUUACUGGGCGUAAAGCGCGCGUAGGCGGGCUAUUAAGCCAGAUGUGAAAGCCCGGGGCUCAACCCCGGAAUUGCAUUUGGAACUGGUAGCCUAGAGACCAGGAGAGGUUAGCGGAAUACCGAGUGUAGAGGUGAAAUUCGUAGAUAUUCGGUGGAACACCAGUGGCGAAGGCGGCUAACUGGACUGGUACUGACGCUGAGGCGCGAAAGUGUGGGGAGCAAACAGGAUUAGAUACCCUGGUAGUCCACACCGUAAACGAUGAAUGCUAGUUGUCUGCGCGCAUGCGUGCAGGUGACGCAGCUAACGCAUUAAGCAUUCCGCCUGGGGGAGUACGGCCGCAAGGUUAAAACUCAAAGAAAUUGACGGGGGCCCGCACAAGCGGUGGA
rnacentral:rRNA from 1 species